CAAUCAUUGUGAAGUGUUUAGCAUGAUGUAAGCACUAGAUAAGAGUUAGCUAUUACUGUUAGAAUUGGAAGGAACCUCAGAGUUCUAGCCCCCAGUCACCUCAUUUUACAAGGGAACAGAAGGAAGGCAGAUAGAAUAACUUGUCUGAUGUCACCUAGGAAAGUCAGCUUGGAGCAGAGGCAAGAGCCUGGUUCUCCUGAAUUCCUAGCUCCUGCUCUGGAUUCAACCCCCCAUUACCAGCCUUCAAACUUUACGAAACCUUGGGGGCACAAGUGCUAUUGUUUUUUCCAUUUUCGAAAUGAGGAAACUAGGCUGAAAAGGACUAAAUGACUUUCCCAGGACCAUACAGCUAAUCACCUAUGUCUUCCUGGGGGAGAUCCUACAGGUCUUCAAACAAGCAUGUCAUUUGCAGAAGCAACAACAGUCCUCUUCUGUUUCGUCGCCUUCCAACACUCCCAGGGUGACUUGUCUCUUUCCUUAUGAUUGCUAAGUACCCAGCACUUUCCCAUGCAGGAAGCUUAUGGCAAACUAAUUAACAUUUAAUGAGAGGAAACCAACUGAUUAGAAUGAUUUUCCUGGUACUCAAGCUAAUAAAUGUUGCAUGGACUCUGGAUGGCAUCUUUUGAUUUUCUUUGUUCCCUUCCCUUCUCUUCCUUUCUCUUCCCUUCCCUUCCCUUCUGUUCCUUUCCCUUCCUUACCCUUCCUUUCCCUUCCUUAUUUUUCCUUCCCUCCUUUCCUCCCUUCCUACUUCCCUCUGUUCUUUCCUUCUUUCCUUCCUUCCCUCCUUCCUUCUCUCUCCUCCUCCUCUCUCAACUCUCUCCUCCUCUCUAUUUCUCCCUUCCUUCCUUCCUUCCUUUCUUCCUUCCUUACUUACUUACUUACUUACUGCCUUACGGACAUCCAGGCAAACUAUGAAAAAAAAAAAAUAAAAAAAAAAAAAACUGAGUCAAGCAGAAGUUAAUUGACUUACCCAGAGUUACAUAGCUAAUAAGUGUCUGAAUCUGCAUUUUAACUCAGGUCUCCCCCCCCCUUUUUCUCUUCUUCUUCUUCUUUUUUUGGCAAUGGGGGUCAAGUGACUUGCCCAGGGUCACACAGCUGGGAAGUGUCUGAGGCCAGAUUUGAACCUAGGACCUCCUGUCUUUAGGCCUGGCUCUCAAUCCACUGAGCUACUCAACUGCCCUCUGAACUCAGGUCUUUUUAAACUCCAAUCCUGGAGUUCUAUCCAACAUGCCCCCUAAUUGCCCCAUCCCGAACAACCAACAAUCAGCAUCCGCAUUAAGCAGAUAGUGAGACAUCUCUCCCUUCUCUCAAAGAACUCUGAGGUUAGAACGUGCAUACAUUCCUAUAUGUGGUCAUUCUACUGAUUUCUUUUGCCUGCCCGUUUUUAUCUCUAAUUCUUGGGGGAGGAGAGAAUGGGAUAUCUAAAACAAUAUCGCUAAACCUUUAUUUUUUAUUUUUUCCUAAAGGGAUUGCAUCUCCAAAUACUUGCUUCCUUUCUGCUCUAUAAUUCAGCGACAUGCCUGGCCUUUGAAUUUGCUGCUUCUGCGAGCCCCAAGGUCCUUGAGCCUCAGUUUCCCAUCUAGAAAGUGAUGCUAUCUGCUCCACAAUUGUCUCCGGACGAUUAUCAUAAUGCCUUUCCCGGGGUGCUCGUGAUCUUGCAUGAAGAGUGCUUUAAAAACCUUUAGGGGCUAUCUCGAUGUUAACUGUUUUUUCUGGGAGAUUUGAGGAAUCUCCCCUUUUCUCGAGUGGAAUUGGGUGUUUGGGGCUUGUGCCCCCAGUGCCUAGCACAGGGCUCGGCCCAUAGAUGUCCUCAGUAAGUAAUUCUUUGUUUCUGUGUUGUGAGACUAAACAACAAUGUUGGCGUGCUUUUCGGCAGCAGCCAUCCUAGUCUAUCUACGCUGCCGUUGUUGGUACCUUCCUUUCCUUCGACACCAGCUGUAGGAUGCUUUCGCUUUGGCAUU
rnacentral:lncRNA from 1 species